rnacentral:lncRNA from 1 species
AUUUUUAGGAAUAAGUAUGUAGUUUUUGACAUUCAGUGAAGAAAAAGAAUGAAUCAGAGGUCCAGUAUAGAAUGCAUCAUCCAUUGGUUCUAUAUUUAACGUACGAAAUCUUAAAAGAAGAACUGAGAUGUUGUAAGGGUCUUUGUUUACUUUUAGUUUGGCAUUGUUUUUUCCAGGAAUUCACAAGUUAAAAAAAUGUUUCUUUGGUUAUUAGAUAGCAUUAACCAAGCAUCCAGAAACAUUUUUUUCAAAGCCAAAUCUUUAACAAAGCUAUCAUUUUGAUUUGGGAGUCCGUUUUGGGUUCUCCACAAUGAUGUAGAGGUAGGCCUUGUCAAUUACCUUACUGUCUAAAUCUAGUAAGGUUCCAGAGUGUGUUGGUUUAAGAAAGAAGUUUAGAAAAUGUGGGAAUGAGGGGAAAGAAAAGAAGAACACAUUACACAAUCUAUAUCUAUUAACAGGAUGCACAUAACAAUUACUUAGGCAAUUAGUCACUCAGAGUGAGAGCUGUUAGUAUCCAUGAUGGAAAAAGUACACAAAUAAUACUAUAAAAAAUUAGUGAGAGAUUCAAGAUGUUGCCAUGAUGUUAAUAUGAAGAUCUGAUGUUGAGAAGAACUAUAUCACUUCUGAUAUCUUCAAGCUUAAAUACUUAAAAAUAUAGAUUGUAAAAUUUCACCUUGUUACUUGACUUAAAUUAAAUUAGUUCCAAUGAAGAAUUUUAAAAAUAUAUGUUUGAGGUGAAAAACUGAAUAUCCCCUGGUAUUCUUGCCUCCUUUAAAACUUGUUUUCAUAUUUAAGAAAACUCAGAAAAUUUUCUCAGAUACCCCAAGGACACUGAAUCUUACAGAGAUUUUAAUGCCAAUGUAAUAUAUUAAUCUGUUGGUUUUUCCUUAAAUGUGUACUUGGGUCUCAUAUGGCCUGCCUGAUGCCUUGCUUGGCGAUUAAAAGAAAACCAUUUUAGUGUUUCAAAAAUAUAAUAAGAUGCUUAGGUAAAGUCUAUCAGCCAGAUUUGUUUGUUUGUUUUGGCUUUCUCUCACCUUGAAUCUCUUUCAUGUUGUUCAAGAUGGGUAUUAAAUUUGCUCAGAGACGUUAGUCUCAUUCUGAAGCACACCAAUGCUUCUCAAAUUACCAUCCUGCUAUAAUGAAAGGUACCACCAGAACACUUGAAGAUAUAUCUGACCUUCAAGCAGAGGUCACUCAAUUUGUCCCUAAGUCUAUUGUAUUAAUAACAAUGGACAAACAAAGAUAAUGAGAAGAAAGAAGAAACAAAAUUAAAAGUUUCACCUUAACUUUCCCAGCAUUUUCGUCAUCUUCCUUUUUUUCUUCAAAUUCAAAGGCAACAGUCAUGCGUUGUUGUCUCUGCUCUUCCCACAGUGUUGGGUUAAAGCUGUCACUGUCUGACUGGAAAUCUACAGUUAGAUUCCAAAGUAUUAUUGCUUUUUUUUACAUGAAGUGUUAUUAAUAGAGCUUAGUACACUAUGCAAAAAAAUGGCAAUAGGUACUAUAAACAAGUACAAAAUCAAAAAAAAAAGGAAAAAUAAAGAGAAAGAAAGAAAGAAAGAAAGAAGAAAGGAAAGAAAAAGAGAGGAAAGGUCCUUUGAUAUUUGUUA